rnacentral:rRNA from 1 species
CCUACGGGAGGCUGCAGUGGGGGAUAUUGGACAAUGGGGGAAACCCUGAUCCAGCGACGCCGCGUGAGUGAAGAAGUAUUUCGGUAUGUAAAGCUCUAUCAGCAGGGAAGAAAGAAAUGACGGUACCUGAGUAAGAAGCCCCGGCUAACUACGUGCCAGCAGCCGCGGUAAUACGUAGGGGGCAAGCGUUAUCCGGAAUUACUGGGUGUAAAGGGAGCGUAGACGGUAAUGCAAGUCUGGAGUGAAAGGCGGGGGCCCACCCCCCGGACUGCUCUGGAAACUGUGUAACUGGAGUGCAGGAGAGGCAGGCGGAAUUCCUAGUGUAGCGGUGAAAUGCGUAGAUAUUAGGAGGAACCCCGAUUGCGAAGGCAGCUUACUAAACUGUGACUGACAUUGAUGCUCGAAAGUGUGGGUAUCAAACAGGAUUAGAUACCCGAGUAGUC